AAAUUAAUUAAACGACACGAAUUAAAAUGUUCACGAACAACAUAUAUACAUAUACGCACGUAAACAUUAAACGAGACGAGAAAAUAAUCAAAACACGAAAAUUAUCAGUGCCGAAUCCCCAAGUGCCUCUAAUUUAUUGUCUUCCAAAGAUACAUAAAACGGGUGAUAGACCUAUUGUAAGCAGCAUUUCUUCUCCUUCUUAUUUAUUAGCAAAGUGGUUAGUCAACGAAAUGAGACAACUGCCCCCAAUAAAAAGUCUGUCGGUGAAAAAUUCUUUCGACUUCGUUGAAAAAGUGCAAAAUGAAAUCAUAUUAGAAGAUGAAAUGCUAGUGUCGUUCGAUGUCGUGUCUCUUUUCCCCAGCAUUCCGGUUCAAAUUGCAUUGGUAGAAUUUGAGAAGUAUCUAAAUUUGAUUGACAUCCCAUACGAGAAAAAAGUGUGUUUUUUAAAUGUCGCGAAAAUUUGUAUGGAACAAAACUUUUUCCAAUUCAGAGAAAAGUUUUAUAAAGUUGAGAAAGGCACAAAUAUGGGAAAUCCAUUAAGUCCUUUAGUGUCCGAACUUUUUAUGUCAGCUUUUGAAAUAAAUUUACAAAAUCAACAACUUUUACCACGCUUUUGGUGCCGUUAUGUUGAUGAUGUAUUUUCAAUAGUGAAGAAAGAUAAAGUAGAUAAUACAUUGAAAGUUUUGAACGAGCAAUUCGGGUCCAUAAAAUUUACACUCGAAAGAGAACAAAAUAGAAAAAUAUGUUUUCUAGAUCUUGAAUUAAAAAAUAAAAAUUAAUUCACAAAAUAAAAUAGAUGUGUCGGUUUACCACAAACCAACGAGUACCCUCCACUUCAUAACAAUCGAUUCGCACUGUCCCAUCCAACAUAAACUCGCAGCCUUCCAUUCCCUGACAUAUCGAUUAUGCAAACUUCCUCUAUCUGCUUCAAGUUACAAAUCAGAAUAUGAAUACAUCAAAAAAGUAGCAGAUAUGAACGGUUAUUCUGAUAAAUUAGUUGACAAACUUAUUUUUAAAACACUCAAACAAAAUCAAAAAAUCGAAUUUGUCAACUUUAUUUUCGCAAAACAGCGAAAAAAGUGAAAUGAAACGUGCUUCGAUGUGCUAUGUGCCGGAAAUAACAAACAAAAUCUCUAAAAAAUUUCGCGAUCACAAUGUUGACCUUGUUUUUUCGAACCAAAAUAAGCUUAAAAAUCUACUGGGUUCAACCAAAGACAAAAUAGACAAGUUCAAAAAAUCCGGCAUUUAUGCAAUAAAAUGUGAAGACUGUGAUGGAGUUUAUUAUGGUCAAACAAAACGAACGAUUGAAAAAAGAUUCAAAGAGCAUAACUCUUAUAUUAAACAAAAUAAACCACAAUGUUCAGCGAUUGCAGAACAUGCAAUAAAGCAUAAACAUUCAAAUUUAAAUGUAAACAACUUGAGUGUAAAGAAACAAAUAUCAGAUGAGAGAAAAUUGGAUGCAUAUGAAAGCUACUACAUCCAUAACGAUAACAAUGCUAUCAAUGCUGAUAACGGCAACAUUACAUCGUACUAUUUUCUCUCAUCUAAUAACAAUAUAUUUGCACAACCUGGACCAGUCGUGAUGCUGAUGAUGGACUGCAAGCAGUCCGAAAUGCAUUCAAGGUUCGUGUUUUGAUUAUUUUCUCGUCUCGUUUAAUGUUUACGUGCGUAUAUGUAUAUAUGUUGUUCGUGAACAUUUUAAUUCGUGUCGUUUAAUUAAUUUAAACCAAAAAGUGUAAAAACAUUAAGAUGUAUUGAACAAAAAAUAAUGUGCAAAAGACAACAAAUCCAUGACAACCUGUAGAAAAUGUUCGAAGAAGGUCGUUUGGAUGUGCCUGUCAUAAAAAUGUGAAUGAUUCAGUAAAAAGAGCAAAUUGGACAAUUCGUAUGGUACCUAUGAAGUGUGGCACCGAUCACCGAUGUGAUGAUUGUUGGCAAAGUAUGCUGUAUAGCUGUAUUGUAUACCUGUUCGAAGCACCUCGAAGCACGAUUCGCAUGAAAUCGGAAGUUCAGUUUUGUACUAAAAACACUUUCUUCGGUCGGAAAUCUUAAAUAGCUCCUUAAGCUAAAAGCUUUUUCUUAGUUUGGAAUUUGCAAUUGAGAAGAGUGUUGUAUGUGAUGCAAAUCAGCGCGUUACUGAUGUUGUUGCUCGUUGGAGAGGUUCAUCACACGAUUCCAGAAUAUGGCGAGAAUCGUCCAUAUAUCGUCGUUUGCAAAGUAUGGAUUUGCAAGGAGGUGUUAUUCUUGGUGAUGGUGGUUACCCGGGAUCUAAAAUAUUAUUGACACCAUUUAGAAUUUCUGCCACCCUCUCGGAGCCAGAACGGCGUUAUAAUAGAAGCCAUAUACGUACUAGGAAUCACAUAGAACGUUUGUUUGGACAGAUAAAAAAUAAAUUUCGAUGUUAUUUUAACGGGAUACAACUGAACUAUGGAACUGCAAAGGCUUCGAUAGUUGCUAUCUGCAUUCUUCAUAACAUUUCAAAGGAUUCUUUGAAUGUGGGCUUCUUAGAUGAUUCUGAUAUAAAUAUGCCUGAUGAUGAUGAUCAGAAUGACGAUGAUCAGAAUGAUGAUGACGGUGACGAUGACCCCUUGGUUGUAUUACCAGGGCGAAGACUAACUGGGGUUAUUACAGAAACCAGUUUAUCCAAAAAUAUUUUGCUUGAUAAUAAAACGAAACACCAUAUUUUAUACGAAUUUCAUCAUUUUUUUUUUUAUUUUUUUCAAUAGCUAAUAUUAGGAACAACAAUUAACAUAUAAAGGAUAAAUAAGAAAAAGAAAUAAAAAAGAACUUAACUCUUAUCCUAAUAAAAAUGCUAAAGUAACAAAAAAGUAUA